GCCACAUGAUGUUUUUAUUUUGAGAAAUGAGCGCUUUCUGCAAUGAUGACCUUAAUCUAUCACCCUUGACUGAUGGCU
rnacentral:snoRNA from 1 species